UGCAGUCGAGCGGUAGCACAGAGGAGCUUGCUCCUUGGGUGACGAGCGGCGGACGGGUGAGUAAUGUCUGGGAAACUGCCUGAUGGAGGGGGAUAACUACUGGAAACGGUAGCUAAUACCGCAUAACCUCGCAAGAGCAAAGAGGGGGACCUUAGGGCCUCUCGCCAUCAGAUGUGCCCAGAUGGGAUUAGCUAGUAGGUGAGGUAAUGGCUCACCUAGGCGACGAUCCCUAGCUGGUCUGAGAGGAUGACCAGCCACACUGGAACUGAGACACGGUCCAGACUCCUACGGGAGGCAGCAGUGGGGAAUAUUGCACAAUGGGCGCAAGCCUGAUGCAGCCAUGCCGCGUGUGUGAAGAAGGCCUUCGGGUUGUAAAGCACUUUCAGCGAGGAGGAAGGCGGUAAGGUUAAUAACCUUAUCGAUUGACGUUACUCGCAGAAGAAGCACCGGCUAACUCCGUGCCAGCAGCCGCGGUAAUACGGAGGGUGCAAGCGUUAAUCGGAAUGACUGGGCGUAAAGCGCACGCAGGCGGUCUGUUAAGUUGGAUGUGAAAUCCCCGGGCUUAACCUGGGAACUGCAUUCAAAACUGACAGGCUAGAGUCUUGUAGAGGGGGGUAGAAUUCCAGGUGUAGCGGUGAAAUGCGUAGAGAU
rnacentral:rRNA from 1 species